AAUCAACGCUGGCGGCGUGCCUCAGACAUGCAAGUCGAACGCGAAAGCUCCCUUCGGGGAGCAAGUAGAGUGGCGCACGGGUGAGUAACACGUAGGUAAUCUACCUUUGGAUGGGGAAUAACAACCGGAAACGGUUGCUAAUACCGCAUAAUGCAGCGGCACCUAAUGGUGACAGUUGUUAAAGCGGGGGAUCGCAAGACCUCGCGUCUGAAGAGGAGCCUGCGGCAGAUUAGCUAGUUGGUAAGGUAACGGCUUACCAAGGCGAUGAUCUGUAGCCGGCCUGAGAGGGCGGUCGGCCACACUGACACUGACAUACGGGUCAGACUCCUACGGGAGGCAGCAGUCGGGAAUUUUGGGCAAUGGGCGAAAGCCUGACCCAGCAACGCCGCGUGAAGGAUGAAAUCCCUCGGGAUGUAAACUUCGCAAGAACGGGAAGAAUAAGCCGGUGUAAAUACCACCGGCGAUGACGGUACUGUUUGUAAGCUCCGGCUAACUCCGUGCCAGCACG
rnacentral:rRNA from 1 species